CAGAAAGUUACGAGAUUCAUAUUUAAACCCCAGUCUAUAUGCAGCCAGCAUUCCCUGACUAAUGCACACUGGAAUUAUGGGUGUAAUCUUAUAGAAUUUAACAGGAAAAACUGAAUUGAAUGAAGGAAACAUUUUCAACAGCAACCGUAAUUAUUAACGGAUGUUGUGGUUUUUGCUGGAAAAUUGUCUUUAACGUGUCAUGUACUUUGCAGUAGAGAAAGUGAAACCAGCAGACAUUACAAGUAUGGAGACUCACUGACUACUGUCAGAGUGCUAUGGUGCCAAUUGUUCUACUGUUUUGGAAAUUCCAAUUGAGUAUCAUCAUAUUUCAUGGAGUAUUGGAGGAUAUGGAACCUAUCAGGAUGUUAUCACUCUUGCGGGUAAGAUUUGAACUUGAAAUUGUAAAUAUGUUUAAUAUACAUCACUCUGAAAAUGUUGCAAUAAUUUUGACCACUUUUAAUCUGUCAUCACUGUUACCUGUUUCUCUCAUUCUUUCUUUUUAUCACUGUCUCUUAUUCACUGUCUAACUUUCCCUCACUCCCUCAGACAUUGUGAAACUUUUAAACCCCAAUUUUCUAGGACCAUCACCUGUGCCGAACCUACAUGGACACCCAACAACAGUUAAUGACACCAACUUCAAUUUUGCAGUUACUGGACACAAUACAUUGUCAACAUCUUUCCUUAAUACUUAAUGUGACAAAUAUGAAAAGAAUGACAUGCUUCUGGUUGACAAUAACACUAAACCACGCUUUGUACUUCAUAGUCAAUUUAACAUGACAAAGGCCUUCCAGAAUAUUUUAGAGCCAAAAGAAGCCAUGUGGAUGUUGUGUGUUUGAGUCUGUAUUAUUUUAUAUUCUAUAUGACCAUUUCCUUUACAAAAAUUUCUCUGAGCAGACCAGGCACAUGAUCAACACGUUUAAGAUGUACCCAGUACAUUAGAGUUAUUUCUCCUUUUUCCCUCUAUAUAUUGUCUUUAUGUAAAAUAAUUUAUCAUUUAGGUCAUCCCUUUUUAGUUUAUUGUUUUUUGGGCUGCUUAAUGUGGAUUAAAUGUGUUUAUGCACAUUAAUUGUGGUUUGACUUUUUCUCUACAGGACAUACAUUUCAAAGAAGACUGGAAACUCCUAACUGUCUUGAUUGCAAUGAAUGACAUAGAGGAAGAGGAAGAGACUCAACAUCUGUUUUGUUUUAACGUCCCUAUUAAUAGUGAACGUUGUUCAAAUUUUCCCCAUGAAGCCACUCAGAGAGGUUGAGAUCCCCAUCAUUGGCUGUAUACUUCAGAAUGUGCAAGUAGACGUGAAGACGUUGGGACACUCGUACAAAUGUUGGUGCUGGUCGACAGCUGUUUUUGUCUUUUGACCCAGCUGAAGACUGAUUAUGCCAAGUCUCCCAGACUGCCUGUGAGUUCAUCCUCUAGCAUAAAGUUUUCAGUUGAAGCUAAACUAGUAUUUGUGUGAUUGUGCAGUGCACAAAUUGUUGGACACAAAAUCUUGUAAGAUUGCAUGAGUUAAGAAUGCAUGAUAUAUUGUCUCAUGAGGUUUUAUCAAACAGCAUCUUACUGGUGUUUUUUCAGAAUGGCACAAUUGACACUAGUUUCUUCACAACUGAUUGUUUUCACUUAACCGUGAAAGGUCAUGAUGAGUUUGCAAAAGGGCUCUGGAACAACAUGUUAAGGAUCAACCACUGUUGCUGCUUAUAUCCUGAUCACUCUUUUACAGAACACAUAAUGUUUGUGAUUCCAGAAUUAAAGGGGACACCUUUGCUGAUCUCCAUGCAUCUUUGCUUGAUCUCAGACCUCAAAUUUAAAUAAAUGUAUUUAGCUGUGACCAUUUUCACUGUCUUAUUUUUUUACUUUAAUGGGGCUUAAAUGUAAAGUAUGCCAUUUGAAAGUUGACACUUUCCUAUCAUGUUACCUCUUUCCCAACAGUUUGAACCUGAGGGAGAGAAGACAAUCUCUGACAGUUUCUCAGAACGAAUUCAACUCAUCUGCCCGCCUCCUGAUCACCUUUACAUACACAAGACCUAAAGAAAGUUCAUCUGCAAGCUCUCUUCAAGCACUCUGGUUCCUUUAGUCCCAAACCAGCUUCCUUAUCAUGUUUCACAAUGUACAGUGAAUAAUUACUUAAUCUGAAUAAUUAUCAUUAACUUUCA